rnacentral:misc_RNA from 1 species
GAUGAAGAACGCAGCGAAAUGCGAUAAGUAGUGUGAAUUGCAGAAUUCAGUGAAUCAUCGAAUCUUUGAACGCACAUUGCGCCCCUCGGUAUUCCGUGGGGCAUGCCUGUUCGAGCGUCAUUUAACCCCUCAAGCCUAGCUUGGUAUUGGGUGCUUGUCCCGCCUCUCGCGCGGCGACUCACCUCAAAGUCAUUGGCAGCCCGCAUCUCGCCGGCCGCGAGCGCAGCACAGACGCGCUCUUGGCAACGACGGAUCGGCUCUCCAAAAGCUUAUUUCAACCACUGACCUCGGAUCAGGUAGGGAUACCCGCUGAACUUAAGCAUAUCAAUAAGAGGAGGA